UACGUAGGGUGCAAGCGUUAAUCGGAAUUACUGGGCGUAAAGCGUGCGCAGGCGGUCUUGCAAGUCAGAUGUGAAAUCCCCGGGCUCAACCUGGGAACUGCAUUUGUGACUGCAAGGCUGGAGUGCGGCAGAGGGGGAUGGAAUUCCGCGUGUAGCAGUGAAAUGCGUAGAUAUGCGGAGGAACACCGAUGGCGAAGGCAAGCCCCUGGGCCUGCACUGACGCUCAUGCACGAAAGCGUGGGGAGCAAACAGG
rnacentral:rRNA from 1 species